GGGGAAUUUUCCGCAAUGGGCGAAAGCCUGACGGAGCAAUACCGCGUGAGGGAGGAAGGCUCUUGGGUUGUAAACCUCUUUUCUCAGGGAAUAAAAAAGAAGGUACCUGAGGAAUAAGCAUCGGCUAACUCCGUGCCAGCAGCCGCGGUAAUACGGAGGAUGCAAGCAUUAUCCGGAAUGAUUGGGCGUAAAGCGUCCGCAGGUGGUAUUUCAAGUCUGCUGUCAAAGAGUUUGGCUCAACCAAAUAAAGGCAGUGGAAACUGAAAAACUAGAGUGCGUUCGGGGUAGAGGGAGUUCCUGGUGUAGCGGUGAAAUGCGUAGAGAUCAGGAAGAACACCGGUGGCGAAAGCGCUCUACUAGGCCGCAACUGACACUGAGGGACGAAAGCUAGGGGAGCGAAUGGGAUUAGAUACCCCAGUAGUCCUAGCCGUAAACGAUGGGUACUAGGCGUUGCUUGUAUCGACCCGAGCAGUGCCGUAGCUAACGCGCUAAGUACCCCGCCUGGGGAGUACGCACGCAAGUGUGAAACUCAAAGGAAUUGACGGGGGCCCGCACAAGCGGUGGAGUAUGUGGUUUAAUUCGAUGCAACGCGAAGAACCUUACCAGGGCUUGACAUGUCGCGAAUCUCCUUGAAAGGGGAGAGUGCCUUCGGGAGCGCGAACACAGGUGGUGCAUGGCUGUCGUCAGCUCGUGUCGUGAGAUGUUGGGUUAAGUCCCGCAACGAGCGCAACCCUCGUUUUUAGUUGCCAGCACUUAGGGUGGGCACUCUAAAGAGACUGCCGGUGACAAACCGGAGGAAGGUGGGGAUGACGUCAAGUCAGCAUGCCCCUUACGUCCUGGGCUACACACGUACUACAAUGCAACGGACAAAGGGCAGCAAGCUAGCAAUAGCAAGCAAAUCUCGUAAACCGUUGCUCAGUUCAGAUCGAAGGCUGCAACUCGCCUUCGUGAAGGUGGAAUCGCUAGUAAUUGCAGGUCAGCAUACUGCAGUGAAUUCGUUCCCGGGCCUUGUACACACCGCCCGUCACACCAUGGAAGCUGGUAGUGCCCGAAGUCAUUACCCCAACUAUUCGUAGAGGGGGAUGCCUAAGGCAGGACUGGUGACUGGGGUGAAGUCGUAACAAGGUAGCCGUACCGGAAGGUGUGGCUGGAUCACCUCCU
rnacentral:rRNA from 1 species